rnacentral:rRNA from 1 species
GAGGAAUACAUGGAUAACGUACCCUGGACUCAGGGAUAGCGGCGGGACUUCGGUCCCUUUGCGAAAGUGCCGGUAAUACCUGAUGACCCCGCGGAAUCGCAUGGUUCUGCGGGCAAAGCUCCGACGGUCCAGGAGCGGUUCAUGUUUUAUCGGCUUGUUGGUGAGGUAACGGCUCACCAAGGCAACGACGGAUAUCGGGCGUGAGAGCGUGACCCGACACAUCGGAACUGAGACACGGUCCGGACACCUACGGGUGGCUGCAGCAACGAAUAUUCCGCAAUGGACGAAAGUCUGACGGAGCGACGCCGCGUGCAGGAAGAAGUCCCUCGGGAUGUAAACUGCUGUCAGGGGUGAGGAAGAUCUGACCAGCCCCAAAGGAAGCACUGGCUAACUCCGUGCCAGCAGCCGCGGUAAUACGGAGAGUGCAAGCGUUGUUCGGAAUUAUUGGGCUUAAAGAGCGUGUAGGCGGGAUAUCAGGUGCCAUGUGAAAGCCCCGGGCUCAACCCGGGAAUGGCAUGGCAAACCGAUAUUCUUGAGGCAGGUAGAGGUGACUGGAACGACUGGUGGAGCGGUGAAAUGCGUAGAUAUCAGUUGGAACGCCUGAGGCGAAAGCGGGUUACUGGGCCUGUCCUGACGCUGAGACGCGAAAGCGUGGGUAGCGAAGAGGAUUAGAUACCCUCGUAGUCCACGCCGUAAACGAUGCGUACUAGGUAUGGGAGGUUCUGACGCCGACCGUGCCGAAGC